UGGGUUUACGUUGGGAGAACUUUUACGGUGAACCAGGAGGUUCUCCCAACGUAAGCCCAGC
rnacentral:pre_miRNA from 2 species